rnacentral:lncRNA from 10 species
GUCCCCCAUGGAUUCUGGGGGACACAGACGUUCGGACCACAGCAAGUGCUCACUGUAUAAUUUUCUCCAUUUUUCUGUAUUGCGAUUUUUUUUCUUAACAAAAACUUGGGUAAAAAAGUAAAUUAAAAUCACUUAACAUUUAAAAAAUUUUAAGGUGAGCCCUCGUGGCCCCCACAUUCCAAUGAUGCCUGCCCUGUGCGCCCUCUGCUGUGCCAGGCUCACACUGCGAAAUAAGCACAGCUUUUACGGUCUGAUUCCUGGGCGGCAUCAGGAAUCCAACAAGUUCAUACUCAUGCCGCCUCAGAACAGCUCCACACAGCAUCCAUGAGGAUCAGCUUCCGGUUACUGUUUAUUGAGCAUCUAAUACGGGCCACGCCCUGAUCAAGAACCUGGAAAUGUGACAGCUAACAAACAAACAAACACGAAUAUUAGAGUUUAUCUUAAAAAAAAGCAAGUCAAUAUAACAAUAGGUUGAAGGACUAUAUUUUCUAGAGUGUGAGUUCCUGUCAAUGGGAGUUUUGCUUAACUCAGUGGAUAAUUCUACAAAAAUGCACCUAGGCAACAUUCACUAUUGUUCUUUGUCAUUUUGGCAUUUGCAU